AAAAGUUCAUUUAUUUCAGUAAUGCAACGUAAAAGGGGAAAUAAUAAGCCAUAAUGAAUCUAUGGGGCAUUACCAAGAGAAAGAUGAGACAUCAGACCGAACAAUGCAGAAGAGCUGAAGGCCGCUAUUGAAGCAUCCUGGUCUUCCAUAACACCUCAGCAGUGCCAGAGGCUGAUAGCUGCCAUGCCACGUCGCAUUGAGGCAGUAAUUGCUGCAAAAGGAGC